GAUGAAGAACGUAGCGAAAUGCGAUAAGUAGUGUGAAUUGCAGAAUUCAGUGAAUCAUCGAAUCUUUGAACGCACAUUGCGCCCCUCGGUAUUCCGAGGGGCAUGCCUGUUCGAGCGUCAUUAUAACCCCUCAAGCUCAGCUUGGUGUUGGGGCCUGCUGCACUGGCAGCCCUUAAAAUCAGUGGCGGCGCCAUCUGGCUCUAAGCGUAGUAAUUCUUCUCGCUAUGGAGUCCUGGUGGAUGCUUGCCAUCAACCCCCAAUUUUUCUAUGGUUGACCUCGGAUCAGGUAGGGAUACCCGCUGAACUUAAGCAUAUCAAUAAGCGGAGGA
rnacentral:misc_RNA from 1 species